rnacentral:misc_RNA from 1 species
AAGUCGUAACAAGGUUUCCGUAGGUGAACCUGCGGAAGGAUCAUUACUGAGGGGCUUCGGCCCCGUCAAGAUACCACCCCUUGCAUUUUGAGUACCUCUGUUUCCUCGGCGGGCCCGCCCGCCAAUGGGGACCAUAACAAACCCUUCUGUAGUUGCAGUAAACGUCAAAAACAAAAUAAAAUCAAAACUUUCAACAACGGAUCUCUUGGUUCUG